rnacentral:rRNA from 1 species
CCUACGGGAGGCAGCAGUGGGGGAUAUUGCACAAUGGGGGAAACCCUGAUGCAGCGACGCCGCGUGAGUGAAGAAGUAUUUCGGUAUGUAAAGCUCUAUCAUCAGGGAAGAAAAUGACAGUACCUGACCAAGAAGCCCCGGCUAACUACGUGCCAGCAGCCGCGGUAAUACGUAGGGGGCAAGCGUUAUCCGGAUUUACUGGGUGUAAAGGGAGCGUAGACGGUUUUGUAAGUCAGGAGUGAAAGCCAGGGGCCCAACCCCGGGACUGCUUUGGAAACUGUGUAGCUUGAGUACAGGAGGGGCAGGCGGAAUUCCUGGUGUAGCGGUGAAAUGCGUAGAGAUCAGGAGGAACACCGGCGGCGAAGGCGGCCUGCUGGACUGAAACUGACGUUGAGGCUCGAAAGCGUGGGUAGCAAACAGGAUUAGAUACCCCAGUAGUC